UCUGGCUUGUCACCGGCAGUUUCCGCAGAGUGCCCAGCGCUACCUGAUGGCAACUGCGGAUGGGGGUUGCGCUCGUUGCGGGACUUAACCCAACAUCUCACGACACGAGCUGACGGCAGCCAUGCAGCACCUAACCGCAGGUUCUCCGAAGAGCACCCUCGUCUUUCGACAAGGCUCCUACGUUUUCUAGCCCAGGUAAGGUUCUUCGCGUUGCGUCGAAUUAAAUCACAUGCUCCACCGCUUGUGCGGGCCCCCGUCAAUUCCUUUGAGUUUUAAUCUUGCGACCGUACUCCCCAGGCGGAGAGCUUAAUGCGUUAGCUGCGCCACUGAAGGGUAAACCCUCCAACGGCUAGCUCUCAUAGUUUACGGCGUGGACUAC
rnacentral:misc_RNA from 1 species